rnacentral:rRNA from 1 species
CCUACGGGAGGCAGCAGUGAGGAAUAUUGGUCAAUGGGCGUAAGCCUGAACCAGCCAAGUCGCGUGAGGGAAGAAGGUUCUAUGGAUCGUAAACCUCUUUUAUAAGGGAAUAAAGUGCGGGACGUGUGCCGUUUUGUAUGUACCUUAUGAAUAAGGAUCGGCUAACUCCGUGCCAGCAGCCGCGGUAAUACGGAAGAUCCGAGCGGUAUCCGGAUUUAUUGGGUUUAAAGGGUGCGUAGGCGGCAUUUUAAGGAAGCGGUUAAAGUCGGUGGCUCAACCCUAGAAUUGCCGUUGAAACUGGGAUGCUUGAGUAUGUUUGAGGCAUGCGGAAUGCGUGGUGUAGCGGUGAAAUGCUUAGAGAUCACGCAGAACCCAGAUGGCGAAGACAGCCUGCCAGGCCAUGACUGACGCUGAUGCACGAAAGUGUGGGGAUCAAACAGGAUUAGAUACCCUAGUAGUC